UACAGAGGUCUCAAGCGUUGUUCGGAUUCAUUGGGCGUAAAGGGUGCGUAGGCGGCGCGGUAAGUCGGGUGUGAAAUCUCGGAGCUUAACUCCGAAACUGCAUUUGAUACUGUGGUGCUUGAGGACUGGAGAGGAGACUGGAAUUCACGGUGUAGCAGUGAAAUGCGUAGAGAUCGUGAGGAAGACCAGUGGCGAAGGCGGGUCUCUGGACAGUUCCUGACACUGAGGCACGAAGGCCAGGGGAGCAAACGGG
rnacentral:rRNA from 1 species